rnacentral:rRNA from 1 species
AGAGUUUGAUCCUGGCUCUAAUUAAAAUUCAGAUGGUUAAAGAUGGGCAUGCGUCCCAUUAGCUAGUUGGUGAGGUAACGGCUCACCAAGGCCACGAUGGGUAGGGGUUCUGAGAGGAUGAUCCCCCACACUGGUACUGAGACACGGACCAGACUCCUACGGGAGGCAGCAGUAAGGAAUAUUGGUCAAUGGACGCAAGUCUGAACCAGCCAUGCCGCGUGCAGGAAGACGGCCCUAUGGGUUGUAAACUGCUUUUGUACGGGAAGAACUACAUUUACGUGUAAAUGUUUGACGGUACCGUAAGAAUAAGGAUCGGCUAACUCCGUGCCAGCAGCCGCGGUAAUACGGAGGAUCCGAGCGUUAUCCGGAUUUAUUGGGUUUAAAGGGUGCGCAGGCGGGUAUGUAAGUCAGAGGUGAAAUUCCACGGCUCAACUGUGGGACUGCCUUUGAUACUGCAUAUCUAGAGUAUAUUUGGAGUGGGCGGAAUGUAGCAUGUAGCGGUGAAAUGCUUAGAUAUGCUACAGGACACCGAUCGUGAAGACAGCUCACUAAACUAUAACUGACGCUCAGGCACGAAAGCGUGGGGAGCAAACAGGAUUAGAUACCCUGGUAGUCCACGCCGUAAACGAUGAUUACUCGCUGUGGGCGAUACACAGUCAGCGGCUAAGCGAAAGUGAUAAGUAAUCCACCUGGGGAGUACGAUCGCAAGAUG